rnacentral:rRNA from 1 species
GUGUCAGCAGCCGCGGUAAUACGAGGGGGGCUAGUGUUGUUCGGAAUCACUGGGCGUAAAGGGAGCGUAGGCGGGAGCUCAAGUUGGGUGUUUAAUUCCGGGGCCCAACCCCGGGCGUGCACUCAAAACUGGGUUUCUUGAAUAGGGGAGAGGUCGAUGGAAUUGGAGGUGUAGCGGUGGAAUGCGUAGAGAUCUCCAAGAACACCGGUUGCGAAGGCGGUCGACUGGACCCAUAUUGACGCUGAGGCUCGAAAGCGUGGGGAGCAAACAGGAUUAGAAACCCGCGUAGUCC